rnacentral:misc_RNA from 1 species
GGCAGAGGACCGGGCAAAGCAUGCUGUGCCGUUAAGGCUGGAUGUUAAGGUUCCGGUCAGGAUCGAGUUCGGGGCCGUUAAAAGCUGGAGUGUUACAGUGAAGGUGAGGUGUGAUGUCACGGUGGAUAAGCUGACUGCGGAUUCACGGAUUGUAUCCAAGAACUGCAGAAGUAGGGUGCACCUGUGAGAAUUGUGGCAUUUACAAA